rnacentral:lncRNA from 1 species
GGAUGCUGCUGCUGCUGUUGCUUCAGAACCUGAGAUUCCUCAGAACUACGAUGCUGCAGCAUCAAAUUUUAACAGCUUAGAAGAGUUGGAGUCUGUGGAAACCUCGGCACCAUUACCAUUGGAAGAUAUAGGCGAUCUUCAUUGUGAGGAGGCUGUAGAUUUUGAGCACGCCACCUCAGACUUUGUGAUAGGCUCCAGAAGAGAU